CUCAUACCUGUAAUAAGAAACAUGAAAAGCCACGCUUCACACUGUGUCCUUGUUGUGCUAAGUUAGUGGAACAUUCCCACCCUUCUGAAACAAGAGGACUGUGAUCUUGAAUUCUUCAGUCAGGAUGAAUCAAGAUGAAAUGCGGUCCUUCAGUAAUAAGCUCACCAGGAGGAGGAAUGUAAAAAUGCCCUUUUCUUUUACAAAUGCUAAUUAGCAGCGACGUGAGCAGCUCAAAUUCUCCUCGACUGUAAAGCCAUGGAAAGAGAGUGACAACAUUUCUUUACUGCUGAGAAAAGGAAAAGAAAAGGAUAAUCACACUCUGCAGUGGCUUCUGUGUGGAGAUGCAGGGAGCAGAUAAACACAGCCCCCUCGGUGAAGCUGGGUCCCAAAGUGGAGAACUGAUACACAAGCUGGCGGAGGCAAGUGCCAGGAGGAAAAGGAAGUGUGCAUGCAAGAGAGGUGCGCUGUGCCAAUGGAUGUAUCCGUACCCGCCAGUAGAGCAGCUUUGUUUUUUUUAUGUUGUGUUUUGUUGAAAUUAAAGACUGUUCGCCUGCCA